rnacentral:rRNA from 2 species
ACGGGAGGCAGCAGUGGGGAAUAUUGCACAAUGGGCGAAAGCCUGAUGCAGCGACGCCGCGUGAGUGAAGAAGUAUUUCGGUAUGUAAAGCUCUAUCAGCAGGGAAGAUAAUGACGGUACCUGACUAAGAAGCACCGGCUAAAUACGUGCCAGCAGCCGCGGUAAUACGUAUGGUGCAAGCGUUAUCCGGAUUUACUGGGUGUAAAGGGAGCGUAGGCGGUCUGAUAAGUCUGAAGUGAAAGCCCGGGGCUCAACCGCGGGAUUGCUUUGGAAACUGUUGGACUAGAGUGUCGGAGGGGCAAGUGGAAUUCCUAGUGUAGCGGUGAAAUGCGUAGAUAUUAGGAGGAACACCAGUGGCGAAGGCGGCUUGCUGGACGAUUACUGACGCUGAGACUCGAAAGCGUGGGGAGCAAACAGGAUUAGAUACCCUGGUA